AUGGGGGCGACGAGGUCAAGCCGGCCAGAGCUCGCAGCGUCGUGGCCGAGGGCUGCCAGAUCUGCGGGCCAACAAGACGGAGACGGGAGUCAAAAGGACAUUUUCGCGCCGGGAGGAAAAGCUAAGGGGCUGGGUGACGUUGCUGGACCAGGGAGAGAGACGAGGGUGGAACUGCGCGCCGGAUCGACGGGCGACGACAGGAUUGACGCGUGGUGGCGGACUGGCGGGGAUGGGGGAAAGAGAAGGAGCUGCGUGGGAGGUUUCAUCAGAGGGAAAAGGGGGUGA
rnacentral:rRNA from 1 species